UUCACAACCUUCUAAUAUUGCUCCUUCCUGAUUCUGGCUGGUUUUCUUGCCAGAGAGUCUGUUGGACUUACUUCAGAUUGAUGUCACCUACUAAUUGAGGAAACAUUCCCCGAACCUGAACCCUGAGGCAACAGCAGACAUGACACUUGCAGACCUUUCAGUGUAGCCAAGAAGAAAUUGAAACACCCAGGCUGGAACUUGCUGGAGAAGUGAGUGAGGGAGACUCUCCCAAGAAGCCCCAUGGUGGGGCAAGCAAGCUCAGGGAGCCGGUCAAGUGCAAAAAUUAAGUCACUGAUGUUACCAGUGGCGAUGCUGAAGACAAAAACACAUCUCUGGCUGAUCAGUCAACUCUGCUCCUGACACAGAACAAAUCUUCCAAAGGAUUGUUAAUGAUCUGGCUGAUUUUUCACAAAAGCUAAAAUGGGAUAUGACGUUUUAUCUUAUGACUCAUUAGAAGCAGUUACCUGGUGUGCUGUGUUGAAAUGAAUUCUGAAGCUGUAACCAACACUGCAGGAGUGAUUGUGACAAUCUAUGAGCAACGUCUGUCAUAGACCUUGUCCCUCAGGUACGGUCAAGAAAUGAUUUGCUCUCAACUCACUAGAAUGUAAACUCCAUGAGAGAAGGGACCCGACCUGCUUUUGUCCACUGCCAUACAUCUCUGGUACACGGAAAAUCGAUGUUCACUUUGUUUCGGCAAAAGAAAAUGCAGUGGCGCUGUGCAGGCUUCGUGGCUCUGAGCACACAUGGAGCUUUCACACCACAACUCAAGUUCAAGCCAAAAAGCCAAGAAAGAUGCGCCCCAGAACAUGACACAUUCUUUGUUGUGACUUUUCCGUCAUUUAGUUUGCUGAAAUUUAAUAUGACAGCACAGUGGCAGGGAGCUUAAUGAUGUUUCUCAUCUGUUUCAAAAUUUGCUUUAUUUAAACACCAAAGCAAAUCACUCAGAUGCUGUCAUAGAGAACUGUCUCUCUUGUUUUGUAUUGAGCAACUAUAGAUCUUAUGGCAGACUGUAAAGAAAGACAGAACUCCAGUGCUUGAUGGAUUUGUGUUCAGAGAGGAAUCUGCACACUCCAUGUGCUUCCUGAAGGUGCCCCCAGAAAGGUCUGCUUGUACUUAGAAGUCAGUUUUGUGUCUCUGACCUAGCUUCCUAUUUCUCAGGGAAAAUGGAGACUAGCAGGCAGGAACUGCCUCCAUGUACUUUCUCCAAUGCAUGAAUCUGUCGGCACUUCCUGGCCUUCCAGUGUUAGAGGUGGGCUCUGUCGGAGGGCCUCUACAGGGCAGGCUGAGGAAGGAGGACCUGCUGGUGCAAGAAUAAACAGAUAAAUGGGGCCGGAAGAAAAUCCACAAAUAUUCCUUAGGGAAUAAAAAAAUACUGCCAUCUCAUGCCUGUUAGAAUGGCCGUCAUCAAAAAACAAGAGAUGACAAAUGCUAGUAUGGAGAAAAGGGUACCCUUGCACACUAUUGGUGGGGCUGUAAAUUGGUACAGCCACUAUUGAAAACAGUAUGAAGGUUCCUCAAAAAAUUAAAAAUAGCACCACCAUAUGAUCCAGCAAUUCCACUUCUGGGAAUAUAUCCAAAUGUAAUGAAAACACCAACUGCAAAAGAUAUCUGCACCCCCAUGUUCACAGCAGCAUUGUUUACAAUACCCAAGACAUGGAAACAACCUACGUGACCACCGAUGAAUGAAUAGAUAAAGAAGCUGUGGUAUAUAUACACAAAGGGAGAUUGUUAAGCCAUAAAAAAAUGAGGAAAUCCUACAAUUUGCAACAACAUGAAUAGAGCUCGAAGGCAUUAUGUUGUGUAUGAUCUCACCUAUAUAAGGAAUCUUAAAAACAAAUCCCAACUCAUAGAAAAAAGAGAUCAAAUUUGUGAUUACCAGAGGCAAGGCGGAGAAAGGGGCAGUUGGAGGAAGGUUAUUGAAAGCUACAAACUUCCUGUUAUCAGAUAAAUAAGUGCUAGGGAUGUAAUGCACAGCAUGAUGUCUAUAGCUAACACUGCUGUAUGAUAUGUAGGAAAGUUGUGAAGAGAGUAAAUCCUAAUCCUUUUCAUCACAAGGAGAAAUUAUUUUUCUUUUCUUCUUUCUUUUCUUUUUAUUGUAUCUAUAAGAGAAGAUGGAUGUUAGCUGACCCUAUCGUGGUGAUCAUUUCACAAUAUAUGUAAAUCAAACCAUCAUGCUGUAUGCCUUAAACUUAUUUAGUGAUGUAUGUCAAUUAUUUCUCAAUAAAACUGGAAAAAAAUAGUAUACUAUAAAGGUGGCAUUUAAAAUUAAUAGGAUAAAUAGAUAUAUUAAAAUAAAUGUUGCUAGAUCUAUCGGCUAACAACUUGUCAUUUAUGAGUAAAUAAAUAAAACAUACAUACAUAUAGCUAGGUCACUGUUGUACCAAACCCUGUUCUUGGUUCCUCAUAAUGGAAACUGACUCUGUGUAGCUUAAGCUGAAAAGAAAUUUAUUGGAAGGAUUUUAGGUAGAUCACACAAUUCAUGAGAACCUCAUGAAACCAUCCUGGGAAAUAAGGCCACCCAUUAUGGUUAAGUAGUUCAUUCACUGCCUAAAUGCAUUUGGCUGAGGGGAUAAUUAGGGGCUGAAAUCCAGUCCACCUUCUGCUCACCAAGCCAUGUGUCCUGGUGUGUGCCGCAUCAACCCAAAGGAAAAGAUGUUUCAUGUCUCACGUGAAAGCUCCAGCUAUUUGCCAGGCUGUGCAUCCAAGGGCCUGUGUCCACCUGGAGGGAUGCCUUUCUCUGAUCUGUACAAUGGCACUGUCUACACUAGCCAUGGCCUGGUCUCAGAACUAACCUGGUUGGCCUCUAGCCUCUGACCUGAAAUACUGAAUGCCACAGCUGACACCCAAGGACCCAAGAUAAAGGCACAACCACUGAAGUGAAUUUGAAGCUGCUCCUGUUUUUGACCUCACUAGUUCCAGGAUCCUGGAUGGGAGAGGCCAACUGGCCAAGCUUCGGCCUUAUACUCAUAACCUAAUUGUUCGCAAUAUUGGAAAGCAAGUGCCUGGCUUUUUGACUUCCCAAAACACACAGUAGCAUAUUGCAUCUUACAGAAAGCCAAAAUUUAAUACCAAUUAGUUAAAUGUUAUAUGGUAAAAAAAAUCUAUUUAUUGGCUCUUAGAAUAAUGAAGGACUUUAGAAAGAUCCAAGAAGAAACCACCAAGGCACAAAUUGAUACGUGCAGCAUGGAAUUAAAAAUUUUAUGUCAAAAAACACCAAAAUUAUAAGGUAAAUGAGAAAUUGGGAGAGAAAGGGAAUAACAUAUAAGAUAAAUAAAGCUCUGAUAAGCUGAUCACAUAAAAAUUUCUCAAAAAUCAAUAUGAAAAAUAUUCUGUUAAAAAAAUGGCGCAAGGACACAAGUGGGUUGUUCACAGGAGAAAUAAAGAAAGAAUGUGAGAAAUUCUGGGCCUUACUAGUUGUCUGUCCCAUCUCAUGGGUGAGAACUUGCUGGGGCUGUAGAGCCAGGCCUGUGACUGGCCGUCUGUGAGCCCAGCCUGCUGCAAGAUGAGGAUGGUUCUGAAAAAACGGGGGAAUUUGGAAGACAAACCCAAGAGAAAUGACACUGAGCAAGUUUGAGAUCUCUACUGAAAAAUUAGCUAAGGAGAACAGUCCACACAAAGUUCAAGUGUUCAAGAGGCUCUCUCUUUGUAUUAUCUCAUUUAAAUCUCAGACAACAAAUGUAGAUUUUUUAUAAUUCCUCUUGUACAGCUGAGGAAAUGAAAGCUCAGAAAGCUGAAGGG
rnacentral:lncRNA from 1 species